GAUAAACGCUGGCGGCGUGCUUAACACAUGCAAGUCGAACGAAGUUUUUCCUUCGGGAGAAACUUAGUGGCGGACGGGUGAGUAACGCGUGGGUAACCUGCCCUGUACAGGGGGACAACAGCUGGAAACGGCUGCUAAUACCGCAUAAGCCCUUAGCACUGCAUGGUGCAUAGGGAAAAGGAGCAAUCCGGUACAGGAUGGACCCGCGUCUGAUUAGCCAGUUGGCAGGGUAACGGCCUACCAAAGCGACGAUCAGUAGCCGAUCUGAGAGGAUGUACGGCCACAUUGGGACUGAGACACGGCCCAGACUCCUACGGGAGGCAGCAGUGGGGAAUAUUGCACAAUGGAGGAAACUCUGAUGCAGCGACGCCGCGUGAGUGAAGAGGUAUUUCGGUAUGUAAAGCUCUAUCAGCAGGGAAGAAAAUGACGGUACCUGACUAAGAAGCACCGGCUAAAUACGU
rnacentral:rRNA from 1 species